rnacentral:rRNA from 1 species
GAUGAACGCUGGCGGCGUGCCUAAUACAUGCAAGUCGAGCGAACAGAUAAGGAGCUUGCUCCUUUGACGUUAGCGGCGGACGGGUGAGUUACACGUGGAUAACCUACCUAUAAGACUGGGAUAACUUCGGGAAACCGGAGCUAAUACCGGAUAACAUAUUGAACCGCAUGGUUCAAUAGUGAAAGGCGGCUUUGCUGUCACUUAUAGAUGGAUCCGCGCCGUAUUAGCUAGUUGGUAAGGUAACGGCUUACCAAGGCAACGAUACGUAGCCGACCUGAGAGGGUGAUCGGCCACACUGGAACUGAGACACGGUCCAGACUCCUACGGGAGGCAGCAGUAGGGAAUCUUCCGCAAUGGGCGAAAGCCUGACGGAGCAACGCCGCGUGAGUGAUGAAGGUCUUCGGAUCGUAAAACUCUGUUAUCAGGGAAGAACAAAUGUGUAAGUAACUGUGCACAUCUUGACGGUACAUGAUCAGAAAGCCACGGCUAACUACGUG